CCAACGUGUCCUCUGCCAGUGAUGAGACUACAGGCUUGGGGAUUUGGGCUUCGUUCACUUCUGCAAAAAACCUUGAGUGAAGGCCUACUGCUUGCAGGACAUUUUAUAGGAAUCUCUGUACCUAACAUGGGGCUCGAACUCACUACACAAGAAUCUCACGCUCCACUGGCUGAGCCAGCCAGGCGCUCCAAAGCUUUCAGCCUUCAAGCAGAAUGUGUCCACCCUCUGCUUUUUUAAAGUUUGCCUUAUGCCGCUUCACUUUCACGAAAGAUCUACAUUGGUACCUGUUUUUGCUAACUGAAAGAAAUCUAAAGAGGAUUUUCACUUUUCCAAAAAAAAGGGUGCAAAGCAAAAAUUGCUUUCAGCGUUUGUUUUGCAGUCAAUGGUUAUAGAGGCAGCGCGAACCCCAACAGCGAGAGUGGCCUUGCUAAGCUCUUUCCCUGGAACGACACCCAGCAUCUUUGCAUCAAGCCACCAUAGCUCUGAACUCUGUCUGUGAGCAUCCACACUCUAUCUCGACUUACUGUGUGUAUCUACUAGCAAGACGUGUCCCAAGGUUUCAGAAAAGCCUCAGAGAUUAUUUUUUUGUGUCUGGGAACACUUGGAAAAAUUUCCGUAUAAAUUAAUGGUAAUCGCUUCUUCAGUUUAUGCCAUUUCAGCCUACAAAAGCGCUCAUUAGGCAUGCUCUGUUUUCAAAUACUGGGCGAAACCUGUAUUGUAUUUUAUUUUUUUAACGUUUAUUUAUUUUUUGAGAGAUACAGAGACAGAGUAUGAGUGGGGGAAGGGCAG